rnacentral:rRNA from 1 species
GUGGGGAAUCUUCCGCAAUGGACGAAAGUCUGACGGAGCAACGCCGCGUGAGUGAAGAAGGUUUCGGAUCGUAAAGCUCUUUCGUUAGGGACGAACGUGCUCUUUGUGAAUAAUGAGGAGUAAUGACGGUACCUAAAUAAGAAGCCACGGCUAACUACGUGCCAGCAGCCGCGGUAAUACGUAGGUGGCAAGCGUUGUCCGGAAUUAUUGGGCGUAAAGCGCGCGCAGGCGGGAUAUCAAGUCUGUCUUAAAAGUGCGAGGCUCAACCUCGUGAGGGGACAGAAACUGGUAUUCUUGAGUGUCGGAGAGGAAAGUGGAAUUCCAAGUGUAGCGGUGAAAUGCGUAGAGAUUUGGAAGAACACCAGUGGCGAAGGCGACUUUCUGGACGAUGUCUGACGCUGAGGCGCGAAAGCUAGGGGAGCGAACGGGAUUAGAAACCCCGGUAGUCC